rnacentral:lncRNA from 1 species
CUUUGUGAUCUUUGCUUUGGGUUGCGGGUUUGCUUUCGUGAAUUCGUGUUCGGGUCAAAUUUUGGGAUUCUUGCGGUUGAUUUAGUACGGAGUUGGUGAGUCCUUUGUUGAGGUUCGAUUCGAGGUUCUUCGGCAUGGUUUCUGUCCUUGCGUUGAAGCAUUAUUGAAUUUCGAAACCUUCGAAUCGAGUUCUAAUUCUCUUUCUUUUCUUCUUUAUUUUGUUAUUUGUCGUGUUCUAUGCUUUGAAUUGAAU